rnacentral:rRNA from 1 species
GACGAACUGUGCAAACGUUAUUCGGAAUCACUGGGCUUGAAGAGUGCGUAGGCGGUUUUGUAAGUAGGGUGUGAAAGCCCCCGGCUCAACCGGGGAAUUGCGCCCUAAACUGCAAGGCUGGAGUGAGGUAGGGGUGUGUGGAACUUCUAGUGGAGCGGUGAAAUGUGUUGAUAUUAGAAGGAACGCCGGUGGCGAAAGCGACACACUGGACCUUGUCUGACGCUGAGGCGCGAAAGCUAGGGGAGCAAACGGG